rnacentral:rRNA from 1 species
UGCGUAGGCGGCUAGAUAAGUCAGAAGUGAAAGCCUGCGGCUUAACCGUAGAACUGCUUUUGAUACUGUAUAGCUUGAAUUAGGUUGAGGUUGGCGGAAUGUGACAUGUAGCGGUGAAAUGCAUAGAUAUGUCAUAGAACACCAAUUGCGAAGGCAGCUGACUAGACCUUAAUUGACGCUGAGGCACGAAAGCGUGGGGAGCGAACA